UGGAAACGCAGACGCUGCCGCGACCUCUUUCUUACCUUCUUGCGCGUGAGCAUGCACUAUGCAGGUCGGGGCUGGGGCGGCCCUGAAAUCAGAACACACAGGGCAGGAACAGAAACAUUCUUUUGCGGCGUCUGGAGAGAGUGAUGUGGGCCCAAAGCCGUCCCUGAAGAGGCCGCGGAGUGCCUGCCAGCGCCCAGGUGCCAAGCAGGACGUAAGGCCAUCAACCUGCAGGUGGAGCUGGAGGUGCUACAGUGCUUUGAAGCUGGAGAGAUGCUCAGCAGAAUCGGGAAGGCGCUGGGGCUCUCCACCUCCACCGUGGCCACCAUUUGUGACAAGGACAAGAUCUGAGCGAGUUUCCAGGCGGCCACCCCGCAGGCGGCCACCAAGCUGACGCACAGCCGCCGCCUGGCGAUGGAGAACACGGAGCGGCUGCUGAGCGUGUGGAUCGAGGACCAGAACCAGCGCAACACGCGGGGCAACAUGGUGCUUGUCCAGGAGAAGACCGCAGCCUGUUCGAGGAGCUCAGGCGGCAGCAGGGCGAGGGCGCCGAGUCGGAGACCUUCAGGCCUGCCAGGGCCGGUUCAAGGUACGCUUCCGGCUGCGCACCCUGGGGUGGGCCGACGAGGCGGUGCGUGCAGCCCCUGGGGCGCGUGCAGGUACUGUGGGCCGCGCAGGGUGAUCCAGGAGGGGGACUUCACGGCCCGCCAGGUGUUCAGCGUGGAGGAGACCCGGCUCUUCUGGAGGCGGCUGCUGGAUGGGACGGUGCCUUCCGCCCGGAGGAGCGCCCUGGGUUCACAGCCCCCCAAGAUCUACUGACUCUGCUGCUGGGCAGCAACGUGGCCGGUAGCUUGAAGCUGAAGCCGCUGCUGGUGUACCCGGUGGAGAACCUGCGCGCCCUCAGGGGCUUCUCCAAGCCCAGCCUGCCCCUGCUUGGCUCGCCCACAAGAAGGCGUGGGUCACGGUGAGCCUCUUCCCGGAGUGGUUCGUGCACUUCUUCCGCCCUGCGGUGGAGAGGUACUAUGCCUGGCACGGGCUCCCGCGUAAAGCGCAGCUUGUCCCGGACAGCGCUCCUGGCCGCCCUGGAAACCUGGACGACCUCUCCGACCACGUGGGCGUGGAGUCCCUGCCCAAGGAUACCACAGCCCUCAUCCAGCCCAUGACCCAGGACGUGGUCGCCACCUUUAAGGCCUGCCACCUGCGGAGGGUCUUCCGCCUCUUGGCCGCGAGGGCCGGGGGCACAGGCGAGCCGGGAGCGGCCCUGGACGUCUGGCGGGACUACUGCAUCCUUGACACCGCCCCGUACCUCUCCGUGUCCUGGGAGGGGUCCCGCCCUCGUCGCUGAACAGUGGUUGGAGGAGGCCGUGGCCCGAGCGCCUCCAGCACAGAGUCAGCGGCCCCCAGGUGGAAACCCUCCCACAGAUCUGGUGGGACAUCCAGGCGCUGGCGCACCAGGUGGGUUUCAGGGAGGUGGCGGAGGCAGAGGUGGCCGAGCUGCUGCAGAGCCGUGGCUCGGACUGGUCCAAGAGGAGCUGGAGGAGCCGGAGCCGACUGCCGAGGAGGAGGGCAAGGCCAGCCCCGCCACCGCCGCCAGCUCACGGCUGAGCACUUGGCCAGGGCCCUGGCACAUUUCGAUGCCCGCCUGCACAUCAUCAGGGACGACGCCUCCAAGCUGGAGUGCAGCCUCCAGGUCUGCCGGGGUGUGAACAACUUGAUGGGCUGCUGUGGGCGCAUUUCAAGGAGAAGCAAGGCCCCAAGUAGUGGGGUGGGAGGGGUGGGGAAGGAGGGGGCGUCCUCCCUCGCCAGCUCUCACUUGGAAGUGACACUGGUCUUCGUGUUUCCAUCUCAUUAACUCCUCAAAUGUCUUUUGUCAGCAAAUAAUUUAUUAUCUCCAGUGAUCUCAAAUACAUGGUUUUAGAAGC
rnacentral:lncRNA from 1 species